GACACAUUGUCGGUUUCCGUGGCGAGGUGGAGGGCAGUCCGUCCGCAGCUGCGUUCCUGAGCCUCCACGUUGGCCCCGCCCUCCAGGAGCUCCCUGAGAGAGGACAGCUGAUUGGUCAGGACCGCCAGUAGAAACUGGACCAUCCCUCCUCCAUCCUGCUGGGACGCCAGGUGGAGCGCUGUGUUGCCAUGACGAUCUGUCAGAGUUGGAUCAGCGCCAGCCAACAGCAGCGCCUCCACUGCUUCCUUUUGCUGGGUGAUCACUGCCAGGUGCAAAGGAGUCUGGGAGGAGUCACAGACAGUAUACCUUCAGCUCUGGGCAGGCAGAGCAGAGACGACCUGCGUCAGACUCUUCAGCGCCUCCUGCUGGCUGUGGAGAACCGCCAGGUGGAGCCCACUGAGAGGAGGGAGGAGAGCGUGAAGAGUCACAACACUGAUUACAUGUUAAAUGAUGGAACGUUGAUCUGUGAUAGAAAAACAACUAAAAUUAUUUUCUAUUAAGUAUUGAGUUCUGUCUAUAUGAAAGUCCUGAAGACCAUUAAAGGCUGCAAUGUUU